UACGAGGGGGGCAAGCGUUGUUCGGAAUUAUUGGGCGUAAAGGGCGCGUAGGCGGUUUGACAAGUCUGAUGUGAAAUCUCUGGGCUCAACCCAGAGUCUGCAUUAGAAACUGUCGGGCUUGAGUAUGGGAGAGGUGAGUGGAAUUUCCGGUGUAGCGGUGAAAUGCGUAGAUAUCGGAAGGAACACCUGUGGCGAAAGCGGCUCACUGGACCAUAACUGACGCUGAGGCGCGAAAGCU
rnacentral:rRNA from 1 species